rnacentral:lncRNA from 1 species
AUAAAUUGAUUUCUAGAGUGUCAGCAUAUUUGGACUCCUGUAAAAGCUAUGAUCUCAAGGCACACAGCUUGACCUUUUAGGGGCUGUUUAUGAAAGUUGAUUAUAACUUGCAUCAUGGAGAUCAUUGACUCAAUAAAUAUUUGUCAAGCAGCCACUGCCUGUCUGGUACAGUUAUAGGUGCAGGAGUACACUGGGGAAUAAGGCAGCCAGGGUCCUUGUCCUCAGGGAGCUUACUUUCUGAUGAGGGAGACAGACAAACUGAUAAACACAUGAGAACUUCACAGCCUGCAAGAAAAUAAAAACAGCAAUAGGACAAAGGUUUAUGUGAGGCAGAAUAUUUUUAGCUAAAUGAAUCUAAGAGACCUUUCCUGAGAGAACAUCACUGGAGCAGCAAUGUGACUGAUGAGAAGACCCAAAGAAAAUAGCAGGCUGACGAGAACCUGUUGUGUGUCCAGCACUGGGUCCGAGGGUGGACCUGUGAACAUGCGCAGAAGUGACCACACGGAACAGGUGUGGCCCCUGGACCCACACUGCUACUGCUCGCUUCCAGCCUUUGCUGCUUUGGUGCCCUUGACCCGGGCAGUACACUUAACCUUGUGAAGACUUCAUUCCUCUUCGGUGGAAGGAGUAAAUGUAGUAGUGCUUACUUUAUAGGGUUAAACAACUAGGCUGGACCUUGGCAGAGGCAUUCCAAUGCCCUGUUGCAGAGAAACAAUCACUGACACUUGCGUGUGCAUUCAUUCAUUUGCUCAUACGGUCUAUCAUUCAUUCAUUCAUCCUUCCAAUAAAUGAUCUCUCAGCAAACUUCUAUUCUAUUCCAGCUGCUGUGCUGUUGGGAACAAUGAUGAACGGGCAGCCACAUACCUGCUCUCGGGACUGUAGAGUUUCGCUAUGCACAGACAAUAAAGCUAAGCACGGUGGCCCAUGCUUGUAAUCCCAGCGGGCAGGAGAGCAAGGAGUGUGAGGCCAGCCUGGACUGCAGAGCAAGACCCUGCCUCCAGAGACAGGCACGGACAAGAAGCAAAUUACCUUGGGCAGUGAAUGUGCACUGUCAUGAACUUCAUGUGUAGAUACGUAUAUUAAUGUACACAUACCCACAUGCAUAACCACAUAAAC